rnacentral:tRNA from 1 species
UGGGGUGUAGCCAAGCGGUAAGGCAUCGGUUUUUGGUACCGACACGCGUAGGUUCGAAUCCUGCCACCCCAA